GAUGUGAAAUCAACUGGAAUAGUCUCUGCCCUGCUUCCCUGGAGACUCAGUCCACUGACUACAGCUGAAACUAUUUGUCUGUGAUAAGGAUCUCCUCCAUGUCACUACAAAGACCUGACCUUUGCUGAUGACAUAAGAUGCAGGAUUGUAAAAAUGUUAUCUCCUGAUAUAUUGUCACCUUAGAUGGUCAAAUGAGCUGCUGUGAAAUCUCCCAGACAUAAUAUCCGAGUAUAACAUCUAUCCUGGAUCUGAGCUCCCUCAGGCUUUUACCUUCCUGUGAUCCAUUUGGCAUGACAAAUACCAUGCCUGCAAGACGUCCCUUGGCUGCAGUCCUGCA